UAAGGAAUAUUGGUCAAUGGGCGGAAGCCUGAACCAGCCAUGCCGCGUGCAGGAAGACGGCCCUACGGGUUGUAAACUGCUUUUAUACGGGAAUAAACCUCGAUACGUGUAUCGAGCUGAAUGUACUGUAAGAAUAAGGAUCGGCUAACUCCGUGCCAGCAGCCGCGGUAAUACGGAGGAUCCAAGCGUUAUCCGGAUUUAUUGGGUUUAAAGGGUGCGUAGGUGGCCUGUUAAGUCAGGGGUGAAAGACGGUAGCUCAACUAUCGCAGUGCCCUUGAUACUGAUGGGCUUGAAUGAACUAGAGGUAGGCGGAAUGUGACAAGUAGCGGUGAAAUGCAUAGAUAUGUCACAGAACACCAAUUGCGAAGGCAGCUUACUAUGGUUUAAUUGACACUGAGGCACGAAAGCGUGGGGAUCAAACA
rnacentral:rRNA from 1 species